GGAAUGUUAGUUAGCAUUCCUGGGAGAAGUGAGUCUCUAUGGCUUGCCCUUUUGAAACUGGUUUCCAAACAAAAUGCAUACUCAUGAAUAUUUAUUGAUCAUAAAAGUUUGGCAGAUUAGAGCAGAAGAAGGGUAGCAUGAGGAGUACCAACUCUUAAACCUGAGGACUCAUGUCUGCACUACACCUUAUACAACAGUGUCUGUGAAAUGGUUAAAGAGUAAAAACCCAAUCUGUUGCAGCCAGAAAGGAGUACUCCGCCUAUUACACAGCAAGGCCAAUAGAUUGCUUGUUAUUUUAAGUGUUAUUUAAAUUAUCUCCCUAGGGAAGAUAAUUUUCAGCUGCCUCUCCAUCUUCUUAAAGAAGAGCAGAAUUUAACACAUCUCGUUGCCAAUGCAUUGUGAAAAACAAAGACACUGAAGCAAUGGUCAGAAAGAAAAGGAAUAAAGACAAAGUCAAGGAAAGAGCUAUACAAGCACAGUUAGCAUAAGAUAGUUGUUCUCAAUGUAGGCUAUCCAGAACAGCACUGUCAACCUCACCGCGGAACUUGAAAGAAGUGCAAAUCCUUGAGACUGACUCCAAGUCUACUGAAUCAGAAAUUCUGGGGGUGGAGUCCAUCAAUCUUUGGUUGAACAAAACACAACCAAUCCCACAUUUAUGGAAGUUUCAUAUAUGAAGUCAUAAAAGUCACUAGAAAGGCAAGAAGAACCAGGGAGCUGACAUGUUCCUAGAUCCAGGAGCCACCCAGUGGAUUGACGAUUCUUAUCAUAAUAAGACUUCCUUGAACCAUCCCGCACCCAACCCUUUUCCAGAAAGAGUUGAAGACAAAUCUACAGUGAAUGGGAGGCUGAGGCCACCACACCACAGCUUCCAGUGCAAGUGUCCUUGUGCCCUGGUGCCUGAUAUCCAGCUCCGGCGGCCUAGAAAAUCAGUUAGGCUUUUCAGUCACAGCACCCCCUGUGACAAACGUGUGGAGCACCGCAUGACUUCUUCAACCAGCUGGUUUUUCUGGCAUUUGAAUAAAAGUAAAAAUAGAAAACAAAGAGGGAGAAGAAAAGUGACAAGCUGA
ensembl:lincRNA